AUUGAACGCUGGCGGCAGGCCUAACACAUGCAAGUCGAGCGGAUCGGCGGACGCGUGAGUAUUGCCUAUGAAUCUGCCUGUUCGUGGUGGAUAACGUCCGGUAACGGGCGCUAAUACCGCAUCCUAUCAGAUGAGCCUAGGUCGGAUGAGCUAGGUGGUGGGGUAAAGGCCUACCAAGGCGACGAUCCGUAACUGGUCUGAGUGGAAGAUCAGUCACACUGGAACUGAGACACGGCCCAGACUCCUACGGGAGGCAGCAGUGGGGAAUAUUGGACAAUGGGCGAAAGCCUGAUCCAGCCAUGCCGCGUGUGUGAAGAAGGUCUUCGGAUUGUAAAGCACUUUAAGUUGGGAGGCGUUACCAACAGAAGAAGCACCGGCUAACUUCGUGCCAGCAGCCGCGGUAAUUC
rnacentral:rRNA from 1 species